AAAAAAUUUAAAUGAGUUUGAUCCUGACUCAGAAUGAAUGCUAGCAAUAUGUCUAACACAUGCAAGUUGAACGAAAUCUCUAAAUUAGAGGUAAAGUAGCGUACGGGUGAGUAAUGUAUGGGUUAUAAUUUGACGAGAUCAGAAUACGUAUAUAAUGAAAAUUAGAAUAGUACAUAGUAAUAUGUACUAAAUACAAAUACUGAAUACCCAAAGGAUUAUGAUAUCGCUUGUUAAAUAGCCCAUAUAGGAUUAGGUAGUUGGGGAUUGGUAAUAGCUCACCAAGCCUAUGAUCCUUAGCUGGUCUGAGAGGAUGAUCAGCCACAUUGGGACUGAAACACGGCCCAAACUUUAUAUGAAGGCAGCAGUGAAGAAUAUUGGACAAUGGGCGAAAGCCUGAUCCAGCAAUAUUGCGUGAAUGAUGAAGCCUUUUUUGGGUGUAAAGUUCUUUUUUUAGGGAAGAUAAUGACUGUACCUAAAGAAUAAGUCCUGGCUAACUCUGUGCCAGCAGCCGCGGUAAUACAGAGAGGACUAGCAUUAUUCGGAAUUACUGGGCGUAAAGGGUAUGUAGGUGGUAGAUACGAUGUUGAUUGUGAAAUCUUAAUAUUUAUAUAUUAAAAAUGCAUUCAAGACUAAUCUACUUGAGUUUGAGAGGGGGUAAUAGAAUUCUUAGUUAAGAGGUAAAAUUCGCAAAACUUAAGAAGAAUUUCAUAAAGCGAAGGCGAUUACCUAGAUCAAUACUGACAUUGAAAUACUAAAGUAUGGGGAGCAAAUUGGAUUAGAUACCCACGUAGUCCAUACUGUAAAUGAUGAUUGUUAAACAUCGGAUAUUAAAUUCGGUGUUGUAGUUAACACAUUAAACAAUCCGCCUGGGAAGUACUAUCGCAAGAUUGAAACUUAAAGGAAUUGACGGGGACUCACACAAACGGUGGAGCAUGUGGUUUAAUUCGAUAAAACGCGAAAAACCUUACCAGUUUUUGAAUAAUAGAAUUUUUUGAUUUAACGAUUAAAAAAUAAUAUCUAUUACAAGUGUUGCAUGGCUGUCGUAAGCUCGUGUCGUGAGAUGUUUGGUUAGGUCCUGUAACGAGCGCAACCCUUUUAUUUAGUUAUAUUUAAUAUCUAAAUAGACUGCCUAUUAUAAGUAGGAGGAAGGCGAGGAUGACGUCAAGUCUUCAUGACCUUUAUAAGCUGGGCUACACACGUGCUACAAUGGUAAAAACAAAAGGAUGCAAUUAUGUGAAUAGGAGCAAAUCCUCAAAUUUUACCUCAGUUCAGAUUGUUUUCUGCAAUUCGAAAACAUGAAGUUGGAAUCGUUAGUAAUCGCAGAUCAGCAUGCUGCGGUGAAUAUGUUCUUGGGUCUUGUACACACCGCCCGUCACGCCAUGGAAAUUAACUUAAUUUGAAGUUAGAUUUAUGAUAUGAAGCAAUAUAAAUAUUUUUUGAAAUGGAUUUUUUAUCUCAAGGUAUUAUAUUUCUUUGUAUCAUCAUCUAAUAAUAAUUAAUUAGUAACUGGGGUGAAGUCGUAACAAGGUAGUCGUAGGGGAACCUGUGGCUGGAUUACCUCUUA
rnacentral:rRNA from 1 species